GUCAACUACCCCGGCCUAAAGACCGAGGCUUGUGAAAGCAGGCCUGGUUGACCAGCCUAAGUUUUUCGAGAACUACGUUGCAGACAGGUUCAAGACCCACCUCGGAAUGCUUCCUCAGUUCCGAGCUCUGGAAGCCUCAGAAGCAGACAAGCAUUGGGUACGCACGAAACGGUCUGAGGCAAAAUGCCGGUCUGUUCAACAUUGGCGAGGGGA
rnacentral:ncRNA from 1 species